GACCGCCGAUAUGUUAUCGGCUAAGGCCAUACGGACAGCCGGGUCGAAUGCCGA
rnacentral:sRNA from 1 species